UAGCGGCAGAUGGAUUCUUCCCCAAUAUUACCACUGGCUUGACAUCUUCCUCCUUCAACUGUACCCCUGCUUCCUCAUCGAUCGAUUUUUCUUUCGGAGUGGCACGGAUCAUCAUCACUGUCUGUGAGGGUUUUUUCAGCUCCCCUCCUUCGUGCAAAAGCUCGAUCAUGUGGGCUUCGGGGUGCUUUGGCAAUGGGUUCUGGUUAAUGUUGGGUGCCUCCGGGGCCUGUACCUCGAUCUUGUUGGUAUCAAUAAGAUCUUGUAUCGCAUGUUUCAGCCUCCAACAUUUCUCGGUAUCAUGUCCGGGAGCUCCCGAACAAUAUUCAUUUCUUACCGAGUGAUCCAUAUUUUGGGGUAAGGGAUUUGGCAAUCUAGGCUCCACAGGAUUUAAUAAACCCAACUGCCUCAAUUUGUGGAACAAGGCAAUAUAAGUUUCCCCCAACUCAGUAAAAGUUCUUUGCCUCUGCAAUCUUUCAUUUCUGGAGGCCGGAUUUCCCCUGAAACCCAUCCCUGGAGGGUUCCUGUAGGCUCUUGGCGGUGGAUAGGGGUUUUGUGGUGGGGGUAGGUGUUAUGUGGAGGUGGGUAUGUAUUGUGGGGAGCCGGCGCGCGCCAUUGUGGGCGAACCGGAAGUUGGGUGUAUGUCUGGGCUUGAUGGACGGAGAAGUGUUGUUCUUGUGGUGGGUAGUAGGGUUGUGGUGGGUAAUUUGGAAUGUGUGGGUAGUUUACAUGAUGGGGUAUGGGUUGGUAAUGAGGGGAAGGACCUCUAGAUCUGGACCAAUUGCCGACUUCUGUUGUCGUUACCUCUUCUCUCCUUUUCUUUCCGAGCGCACCUCCCGUGCAGCUCUGAAUGGCCUGAGUCGUUGCCUUAAUUGCCGAGUAACUUAGGAUCUUAUUGGACUUAAGUCCCCCUUCUAUCAUGCUUCCCAUUUUCACCACUUCGUUGAAGGAUUUGCCAACUGACGUCACCAAGUGACCGAAGUAAGUUGGCUCUAGAGUUUGUAGAAAGUAAUCUACCAUUUCCCCCUCUCUCAUCGGAGGAUCAACUCUGGCUACCUGUUCCCUCCAUCGGAAACCAAAUUCCCGGAUGCUCUCCCCAGAUUUCUUUUCGAGCUUUAGCAAUGUGAGACGGUCUGGGACUAUCUCAAGGUUGUACUGGAAAUGUCCUGCGAAAGCCUGUGCCAAGUCAUCCCAGGUGUACCACCUGCUCGGAUCUUGUCUCGUGUACCACUCCAGUGCCGACCCACUCAAACUCUGGCCAAAGUAAGCUAUCAGUAACUCAUCUUUUCCCCCUGCUCCCCUCAUUUUGCUGCAAAAACCCCGCAGAUGUGCCAUAGGAUCACCAUGCCCUUCGUACAAAUCGAACUUGGGCAUCUUGAACCCUGCUGGUAAUUGGACGUUAGGGAAAGGGCAUAGAUCCUUGUAGGCCACGCUGACCUGGUUGCCUAACCCGUGUAUGUUUCUGAAGGACUGCUCCAAGCUUUUAAAUUUCCGCAUCACCUCAUCCUGCUCUGGGCUCUUUGUCGGCUUUUCAAUCUCCGCCGGGACCUCAAAGUGGGGAUUAUAGGUAUGUGGCUCGGGUGCUUUGAAUGUGAGUUCAUGAGGGUAAUAUUGUUUGUCGUGAGCCUGAAAUAUCGACUCGCUUGAUGAUCUGUGCAAUGGGGCUGGGGGAGGUGCUACAAAGACGGGAACAUUUGGUGGAGGAGGGUUUUGACUGGGUGGUGGGGCUUGGUGAUCAUAGGCCUCUCUUCCCUGAUAGUAGUGAUGGCUUGGGAAACUCGUUGAAGGGUCGGUGGAAAGGUAUUCCGGCGAGUUUAUUGGUUGGAG
rnacentral:lncRNA from 1 species